UACGUAGGGGGCUAGCGUUGUCCGGAAUCAUUGGGCGUAAAGAGCGUGUAGGCGGUCCGGUAAGUCCGCUGUGAAAGUCGGGGGCUCAACCCUCGAAUGCCGGUGGAUACUGUCGGGCUAGAGUGCGGAAGAGGCGAGUGGAAUUCCUGGUGUAGCGGUGAAAUGCGCAGAUAUCAGGAGGAACACCUAUUGCGAAGGCAGCUCGCUGGGACGGUACUGACGCUAAGGCGCGAAGGCCAGGGGAGCAAACGGG
rnacentral:rRNA from 1 species